rnacentral:rRNA from 1 species
GGUCACUGCUAUGGGAAUUCGACUAAGCCAUGCAAGUUGAGGGCACCUUUUAUAGGAGACCCAGCAAACUGCUCAGUAACGCGCGGAUAAUCUGCCCACAGGACGGGGAUAACCCUGGGAAACUGGGAAUAAUACCCGAUAGGUCAUUGAUACUGGAAUGUUCUUUGAUCUAAACGCUCUUUUUACGCCUGUGGAUGAGUCUGCGUCCGAUUAGGCUGUUGUUGGGGUAAUGGCCCAACAAACCUACGAUCGGUACGGGUCGUGAAAGCGAUUGCCCGGAGAUGGGAUCUGAGAUAUGAUCCUAGGCCCUACGGGGUGCAGCAGGCGCGAAAACUUUACAAUGUGGGAAACCAUGAUAAGGGAAUUCCCAGUGUUCUUACAAAGUAGGAACUGUUUGGGUGUGUAAAAAGCAUCCAAUAGAAAGGGCCGGGUAAGACCGGUGCCAGCCGCCGCGGUAAUACCGGUGGCUCGAGUGGUGACCGCUUUUAUUGGGUCUAAAGCGUCCGUAGCCGGCCUAAAAAGUUACCUGGGAAAUCCGGUGGCCUAACCAUCGGGCGGCCGGGUGAUACUAUUAGGCUUGGGACUAGGAGAAACCAGAGGUACUCAUGAGGUAGGAGUGAAAUCCUGUAAUCUUAUGAGGACCACCAGUGGCGAAGGCGUCUGGUUAGAAUAGGUCCGACGGUGAGGGACGAAGGCUGGGGGCGCAAACCGGAUUAGAUACCCGGGUAGUCCCAGCAGUAAACGAUGCCAGCUAUGUGUUGCUGGAACCAUGGGUUCUAGCAGUGCCGAAGGGAAGCCGUGAAGCUGGCCACCUGGGAAGUACGGCCGCAAGGCUGAAACUUAAAGGAAUUGGCGGGGGAGUACCACAACCGGUGGAGCCUGCGGUUU